rnacentral:rRNA from 1 species
GAUGAACGCUGGCGGCGUGCUUAACACAUGCAAGUCGAACGGAAAGGCUCCUGCUUGCAGGGGUACUCGAGUGGCGAACGGGUGAGUAACACGUGGGUGAUCUGCCCUGCACUUCGGGAUAAGCCUGGGAAACUGGGUCUAAUACCGGAUAGGACGAUGGUUUGGAUGCCAUUGUGGAAAGUUUUUCGGUGUGGGAUGAGCUCGCGGCCUAUCAGCUUGUUGGUGGGGUAAUGGCCUACCAAGGCGUCGACGGGUAGCCGGCCUGAGAGGGUGUACGGCCAAAUUGGGACUGAGAUACGGCCCAGACUCCUACGGGAGGCAGAAGUGGGGAAUAUUGCACAAUGGGCGCAAGCCUGAUGCAGCGACGCCGCGUGGGGGAUGACGGCCUUCGGGUUGGAAACUCCUUUCGCUAGGGACGAAGCGCAAGUGAAGGUACAUGGAGAAGAAGCACCGGCUAACUACGUG